rnacentral:rRNA from 1 species
ACGAACGCUGGCGGCGCGCCUAACACAUGCAAGUCGAACGGAGCUUAGAGAGCUUGCUUUUUAAGCUUAGUGGCGAACGGGUGAGUAACGCGUGAGUAACCUGCCCUAGAGUGGGGGACAACAGUUGGAAACGACUGCUAAUACCGCAUAAGCCCACGGUACCGCAUGGUACUGAGGGAAAAGGAUUUAUUCGCUUUAGGAUGGACUCGCGUCCAAUUAGCUAGUUGGUGAGGUAACGGCCCACCAAGGCGACGAUUGGUAGCCGGACUGAGAGGUUGAACGGCCACAUUGGGACUGAGACACGGCCCAGACUCCUACGGGAGGCAGCAGUGGGGGAUAUUGCACAAUGGGGGAAACCCUGAUGCAGCGACGCCGCGUGGAGGAAGAAGGUUUUCGGAUUGUAAACUCCUGUCGUUAGGGACGAUAAUGACGGUACCUAACAAGAAAGCACCGGCUAACUACGUGCCAGCAGCCGCGGUAAAACGUAGGGUGCAAGCGUUGUCCGGAAUUACUGGGUGUAAAGGGAGCGCAGGCGGGAAGACAAGUUGGAAGUGAAAACCAUGGGCUCAACCCAUGAAUUGCUUUCAAAACUGUUUUUCUUGAGUAGUGCAGAGGUAGAUGGAAUUCCCGGUGUAGCGGUGGAAUGCGUAGAUAUCGGGAGGAACACCAGUGGCGAAGGCGGUCUACUGGGCACCAACUGACGCUGAGGCUCGAAAGCAUGGGUAGCAAACAGGAUUAGAUACCCUGGUAGUCCAUGCCGUAAACGAUGAUUACUAGGUGUUGGGGGAUUGACCCCCUCAGUGCCGCAGUUAACACAAUAAGUAAUCCACCUGGGGAGUACGACCGCAAGGUUGAAACUCAAAGGAAUUGACGGGGGCCCGCACAAGCAGUGGAGUAUGUGGUUUAAUUCGAAGCAACGCGAAGAACCUUACCAGGUCUUGACAUCCGAUGCAUAACACAGAGAUGUGUGAAAUCCUUCGGGACAUCGAGACAGGUGGUGCAUGGUUGUCGUCAGCUCGUGUCGUGAGAUGUUGGGUUAAGUCCCGCAACGAGCGCAACCCCUGUCGCCAGUUACCAUCAUUAAGUUGGGGACUCUGGCGAGACUGCCUCUGCAAGGAGGAGGAAGGCGGGGAUGACGUCAAAUCAUCAUGCCCCUUAUGACUUGGGCUACACACGUGCUACAAUGGAUAGGAACAAAGAGAAGCUAACUCGCGAGAGCAAGCAAACCUCAUAAAACUAUUCUCAGUUCGGAUUGUAGUCUGCAACUCGACUACAUGAAGCUGGAAUCGCUAGUAAUCGCGAAUCAGAAUGUCGCGGUGAAUACGUUCCCGGGCCUUGUACACACCGCCCGUCACACCAUGAGAGUCGGUAACACCCGAAGCCGGUGGCCUAACCGCAAGGAAGGAGCUGUCUAAGGUGGGACUGAUGAUUGGGGUG